ensembl:lncRNA
AGCAAAAUAGUUUGUCUCAGUAUAUGCUCCAGUAUAAGGUACACAUUUUCUCCCCUGGUGAAUCUAAUACAAUUUUCUCUCACCUCCAAUAAUUUCCAUAUGCUUCUUUUUCUCACCUAUAGUGAAACGUUAAAAAAAAGUACAAAAAAAAAAAGGAUUUACUGCAUGUAAUACUAGUAGGUAGGCUAGCAAGAAAGAGAGGCUUUCUAAUGCCUAGAAUAGGGUGUGACUGUUUUUCAGUGCAUAACAGAUUUAUAUUUUUCAGUUUUCCUUUUGCCAACUAGCUGGGUUCUAUUUUUGAUAUUUGACUUCAUUCUAAGAGCUAUUUAUUAUCAAGCUGUUCUUUUUUUUUUUUUUUUUUUUUUUUUUUUUCAACGUUUUAUUUUUAUUUUUGGGACAGAGAGAGACAGAGCAUGAACAGGGGAGGGUCAGAGAGAGAGGGAGACACAGAAUCGGAAACAGGCUCCAGGCUCCGAGCCAUCAGCACAGAGCCUGACGCGGGGCUCGAACUCACGGACCGCGAGAUCGUGACCUGGCUGAAGUCGGACGCCCAACCGACUGCGCCACCCAGGCGCCCCUCAAGCUGUUCUUGAAAUGCUUUACAGUCUAUGAAAGACUGGAGCAUGUAGUAGAAAAACCUUUGAGGAGAAAUAGUUAAUAAAUAAAAGCAAACUUCUACAAAAAUGUUGCAGAAACUCAACUUUUAGCUGGCUAGGGGUAUGUUAAAUUUUGCUUAUUGUUUAAGUGACUUCUGAAAACAAAGCCCACUGACGUGUUUUGAAAGCCCUCUAACUCAGAAUCCCUUUUGUAAUGCAUCUACUCUGUGCAGGUUAGGGUGUUAAGUCUAAAAAAGGGCUUUGCCUCAACUUCCUCAUCAGUUCUCUAUUCUUGACUUGUCUACAGAUUUAUGUAAAGAGAUUACAACUCUUGAUAAGAUCAGAAAUGAUAAGAUGCCUAUAAAUGAGCUGAGGUCCCAACUCCGGAAGGCUAGAAUUCCAUUAAGCAACAAGACGUUCCAGGAAAUUCUGGGUCAAGCAUCUAUUGAUGAAAAUAGUGAAGUAAGUCUCAAACAAAUUUUGGAGGCUUUGAACACAAAUAAGCCAGCUCCUGAAUUUGAAGGUGGGUCAUAUUUCCCAUUGCCUUUUGUUAUUAUUAAACAGUAUUGUGAGCUAUAAAUGAUAUUCAAAAGCUGUAUAUUUUUAUAAUUAAAAGUACACAGUUUGACAUAUGCACACACCUAUAAACCUGUCAUCACAAUCAAGGUAAUGAACACAUCCCUGACCUGCAAAACUGCCUCAUGCUCCUUUGUAAUCUCUCCUGCCUUUUUCCCAUCCUGUUCCUCAUCCGUAGGCAACCACUGAUCUGCUUUUUGCCAGUAUAGAUCCAUUGGCAUUUACCAGACUUUUAUAAAAUGGGUAUAUUCUUUUUUGCUAGAUGCUUUCAUUCAGCAUAAUUAUUUUGAGAUUCAUCCGUGUAGCAUGUAUCAGCAGUUCAUUCUUAUUUAUUACUGGCAUAGCACUCCAUUUUACUGAUACACUGCAGUUUAUCUACUUACUUGGUGAGGCUCGUUAGGCUAUUUCCAGUUUGGGGCUCUUAUAAAUAAAGCUGUUAUGAACAGUUGUGUACA